UACGAAGGGGGCUAGCGUUGCUCGGAAUUACUGGGCGUAAAGGGCGCGUAGGCGGCUUGGUCAGUCAGGCGUGAAAUUCCUGGGCUUAACCUGGGGACUGCGCUUGAUACGGCCAGGCUUGAGGAUGGAAGAGGGUCGCGGAAUUCCCAGUGUAGAGGUGAAAUUCGUAGAUAUUGGGAAGAACACCAGUGGCGAAGGCGGCGACCUGGUCCAUUACUGACGCUGAGGCGCGACAGCGUGGGGAGCAAACAGG
rnacentral:rRNA from 1 species